UUGCCAAAUCGUUUUGCAAGCGAAGCAAGACGUUGUCAAAUUGAUUGCACUAACUUAAUUCCUGUUCUCUCUUAUUCGCUGUUGGCCAGACAUGAAAAGUAAACAAACGAAAAACGAGCAUUUGUGGGUUCUAACUUGCCUAGCCUUUGAUCACUUUCAGAUGUCAAAUUAGUCAGUAUCAGUUACUUUGCACCUCCCUGUAAAAAUGUAUAGGCAGUUAUUAUUUGGUAUUGGUAACUUUUUGGUGAUGACCAAGAAAGCUCACUUGUUAAUUUUUCAAUAAUUGCUUUUUUUAUCUAGUAAAUGUGUAUUUCACGGAGAUGACGAAUAUUUUUUGGUAUACCCGACUUAGUCGUCCGUGGAUGCUAAGGGUUGUCACUAGGUGGCAAAAAAUGUCCAUGUGUUUAGGGAUUGAACUAUUCAGCUCUAGUGUGUUCAUAAUUCUAGAAUCUAGAUGGAUGUAGGACUGUAGGAGCAUGGUAGGAGUGUGGGUCAUCAAAGUCAAACUGUCAAAGUGCUGAGACGACUGACAUUUAUAUUUUAUUCUUCUCUAUUAUUUAUUCUCUUUAUUCCGAGACGCCGGCCGAGAAGGGUUACUUUACACUCUAGUCAUUGCUGGGUACUUUAUUCUGAAAUUGUUCGUCAAAAUAAGUCUAAUGGAGUCUGAGCUUCUUCAUGCGUUACGUCCACGUUAUGGCCGACUUGUCAUGAAGAUGGGUCUUAAAAGGGGUCUCUACAUAUUGAAAGACAAAUGAGAUGAAAAGAGGAAAUCUGAAAAGCUAUUGUGAAAAAGUGUCAGUUUCGAAGCAAUCAGAGGGUUUAAGAAUUUACUCAUGCUUGACAUUAAAUUCUUGAUGUAAAUAACACCUGACAACUACUACUUCUUAUAAGAUUCCUUCAUCAGUUAAGUGGUUGAUCUGUGAUUGUGUUUGGUGUGCAGUGGGUCUCUACAAUAUUGCAUGAAAAAAAUGUGAUAAUCCUGAAAUGGAUUCAUUCAUCAGUUUGAUGUAGAAGCUGUUAAUGGUGUUAUCUGGUGUACAGUGGUUUAGCUGUCAUUUCCCAGUUGAGAGCUGCCCUGAAGUGUUGAACUGUUGUGCAAAAUAGUCGAUGUUGCCUAGUGGCGGUCGGGCAUAUUUUAUCGGCUCCUUAUGUCGAUGUGUCGUCUCUUGCCACCUGUACCCACGUUGAGUUCAACCGUUCACCGCCGUUUCAUAGACUUGAUCCAUCUCUCCAAACCCCUGAUUGAACUAAUAAGCCGUAAUUUUACUCUGCUUAAAAGGCGUCCAACCAAAAAUUAAGUUGUAAAGGGAGAGAAGGUGCGAUAGGAAUCAGUCGAUGAGCAUCUCCGACACGGCAACAGCAUCUGCAGUAUACUAUUUGUAACCAACUGGAAUACCGGAUGUCGUAUUACCAGUCCGCAAUCAUGGUUAACUACGUUGUCGUGCUGCUGUUGGACAUCGUAUCGGUGAUGGCUCGGUCGACCACUGUCCACUGGUGUAUCGAUGUUUCCUGGGUAUGGUGAAUACCAAGCACCAGCAGCGAAAGAAUAGUGCACCACGUCGCCGCCGUACUACACAACAAUGUCUUGAUACGCAACACAACUUACUGCACUCUCAAGUACUAAAUCAACAAGCUCCAAAAUACAACACGAAAACUUGCGCUGCCCCUGAUCUGUUGUACUGAAAUCUUACUCUGUCCUGAGUAACAUCACAUUACCAUACUGAUGCCCCAAACUAUUUUUCUGCUCGCAACUAUUACACCGCGGCUCUAGCUUAUUUCACCAUCAAAGCGGUAUAUACCGAAGAGUUUAAGUACUACACAACCUACUGCAGCACACUAUUUGUCACCAACUGCCUUUUUCAUCGUAUUAAAUCGGUUUCCAAUCAUGGGCUGGAUCGACCAUGGAUGUACUGAUGUCUCCUGGAUAUGGCUGAUAUGAAAUCACCACACUGCCAUACUUCACAACAACGAGGUCUCCAAGUACUACACCACUGUGGGACGGAAUACUACAAGAUUAUGUAUGCUGCUCCUUUCUACUACACCAAUACCCCUAAUCCCCUACUGGUUGUCUACUGAAAUAAUAUGUUUAAUUUGUGUUUCAUCCGUGAGUGUAUAAUUCAUUUGAUGAUAUUCUGUUGCCCAAUGUGGCGUGUUGCAGCCCAGGUUGCGAUUGGUGAAAGUUCUUUGACAUGAAGUUAAAACUGCGGUUGUCUCAAGCGAUGUUAAGAUUAUUUACUGUAUACUGGAAUCUUAAACCUUAAAUAACAUGUCGAAUUUUG